UACGAAGGGGGCUAGCGUUGUUCGGAUUUACUGGGCGUAAAGAGCGCGCAGGCGGUCGUUCAAGUCGAGUGUGAAAGCCCCCGGCUCAACUGGGGAGGGUCAUUCGAUACUGAUCGACUCGAAGGCAGGAGAGGGAAGCGGAAUUCCCGGUGUAGUGGUGAAAUGCGUAGAUAUCGGGAGGAACACCAGUGGCGAAGGCGGCUUCCUGGCCUGUUCUUGACGCUGAGGCGCGAAAGCUAGGGGAGCAAACAGG
rnacentral:rRNA from 1 species